rnacentral:snRNA from 1 species
ACAAUCAGAAUGCAUUGGUACCUUAGCAAUAAGGGGCAGCUCAUCCAUUAUACUUUGGGUAUGCUGCUGAUCCCUGUGAUUUCCCCAAAUGUGGGGAACUCAACUGCAUAAUUUGUGUUAAUGGGGGCAUUAUGUUUGUGAUUUUUCUG